CGAACGCUGGCGGCACGCCUAACACAUGCAAGUCGAACGGAGAAUUGAGAGCUUGCUCUUAAUCUUAGUGGCGGACGGGUGAGUAACACGUGAGCAACCUGCCUCUGAGAGAGGGAUAGCUUCUGGAAACGGAUGGUAAUACCUCAUAACAUAACGAAACCGCAUGAUUUUGUUAUCAAAGAUUUAUCACUCAGAGAUGGGCUCGCGUCUGAUUAGGUAGUUGGUGAGGUAACGGCUCACCAAGCCGACGAUCAGUAGCCGGACUGAGAGGUUGAACGGCCACAUUGGGACUGAGACACGGCCCAGACUCCUACGGGAGGCAGCAGUGAGGGAUAUUGCACAAUGGAGGAAACUCUUGAUGCAGCGAUGCCGCGUGGAGGAAGAAGGUUUUCGGAUUGUAAACUCCUGUUUCGAGGGACGAUAAUGACGGUACCUCGGGAGGAAGCUCCGGCUAACUACGUGCCAGCAGCGGC
rnacentral:rRNA from 1 species